CAGGUGCUGGACUUGCCUCUGUGGAUGUGCGCUGAGCUCUCACUGCAGGGGACUGUGAGGCCUGACUGGCUCUUGAAGAAACUUGAAGAAGGAAUUUGGAUAUAUAAAAACAA